AAAACAAACCUACGGGAGGCAGCAGUAAGGAAUAUUGGUCAAUGGAGGCAACUCUGAACCAGCCAUGCCGCGUGCAGGAAGACGGCCCUAUGGGUUGUAAACUGCUUUUGUACCAGAGAAAACCCCGAUACGUGUAUCGGGUUGAUAGUAUGGUAAGAAUAAGCAUCGGCUAACUUCGUGCCAGCAGCCGCGGUAAGACGAAGGAUGCAAGCGUUAUCCGGAUUCAUUGGGUUUAAAGGGUGCGUAGGCGGACCUGUAAGUCAGUGGUGAAAUCUCUCAGCUUAACUGAGAAACUGCCAUUGAUACUGCAGGUCUAGAGUAUAGAUGACGUUGGCGGAAU
rnacentral:rRNA from 1 species